CUUCUCCACCGUAACAACUCCAAUCCCUAUCGAGAGUUGCGAGUUUAGUUCCACCUUUUCGGGUUGCGUUUCUACUAACGGGGGUCCCAGAGUCCCACCUCCUGGCCUCUCGGCUCGGGCCCCCAGUCACGCGGGGUCACGCGCGGUCACGCUCCCUGAACGGGUGCUGCCUCAACGUCUGCCGCCUGAGGGGGACGCUGGUUCGCCGUGUGCCGGCCGCGAGUCGCUUGAUGUCCAACGUCGGCAUCUAGACGAUAGUGGAGAGCGUUGACUGGGUCGUCAUUCUGACUUUCUUAACGUCACUUUACGUCCUGUCUGCGGUUUAGUACCCUGAAGUGUGACGGUUGUUACUAUUCGACUUAACCUUGUCACCCCUGUGGCAUUUUGUGUGAUGAACACUCUGCAACCAAUUCUGACCCGAGCAACUCCGUUUUGGUCUUUGCGCCUUGGCCGAGAGCCUUCGCGGUGUCCCUCACGUCUGGCGUCUUAGCCGCGUGUUGAAGUCCUACCCGUUGUGAGAACUUGGUUUGGAUCCCCAGUGACCCUGGGACUCACCCUCUUGAGACGGAAUCCCGCCGUCCUUCGAGUGCCCGCUGGUUGCUCCGAUCAGCUUCAGGCUGGCUUCCUUCUGCUCGGAUUCCUCCGUUGCAUUUGCCUCCCUCUGUCUUGGCGGAUGGGGACUAGAUUUUGAGUUGUUAUCUUCACCAGACCUUGAACAGCAUUUUGAAUGAAUAAUAGAAGAAGCCAACACUUGCGUAGCCCCGCGGUGCCCGGUACUGUUGAAAGUGCUUUAGGAGAGAAUGAAUUCACCUCCAAGCUCACCUUAAUGAGGAAGUACCUUAUCCCAACGUUA